GACGAACGCUGGCGGCGUGCUUAACACAUGCAAGUCGAACGGAAAGGCCCUGCUUUUGUGCGGUGCUCGAGUGGCGAACGGGUGAGUAACACGUGAGUAACCUGCCCUUGACUUUGGGAUAACUUCAGGAAACUGGGGCUAAUACCGGAUAGGAGCUCCUGCUGCAUGGUGGGGGUUGGAAAGUUUCGGCGGUUGGGGAUGGACUCGCGUCUUAUCAGCUUGUUGGUUGGGUAGUGGCUUACCAAGGCUUUGACGGGUAGCCGGCCUGAGAGGGUGACCGGCCACAUUGGGACUGGGCUACGGCCCAGACUCCUACGGGAGGCAGCAGUGGGGAAUAUUGCACAAUGGGCGGAAGCCUGAUGCAGCAACGCCGCGUGCGGGAUGACGGCCUUCGGGUUGUAUUCCGCUUUCGCCUGUGACGAAGCGUGAGUGACGGUAAUGGGUAAAGAAGCACCGGCUAACUACGUG
rnacentral:rRNA from 1 species